rnacentral:rRNA from 1 species
CUUCCCUUGAGUAUUUUGGGGAUAUGACCUGCCCACUGAAAUAAAUUUGAAGGGCCGCGGUAAUUUGACCGUGCAAAGGUAGCAUAAUCAUUAGUUUCUUAAUUAGGAACUGGAAUGAAUGGUUGGAUGAAAUAUAUACUGUCUUAAUUUAAUUUAUUGAAUUUAAUUAUUAGGUUAAAAAGCCUAAAUUAAUUUAUGGGACGAGAAGACCCUAUAGAAUUUGAUAAUUUUAGUUGUAUAAUUAUGUAUGAAUUUUAUUUAUAAUUUGAAUUAUUUUGUUGGGGUGAUAAGAAGAUAAAAUAAACUCUUUUUAUUUAAGUUAUAUUGAUUAAUAUGUUGUUGAUCCAAUAAUAAUGAUUAUAAGAUUAAAUUACCUUAGGGAUAACAGCGUAAUCUUUCUUGAGAGUUCAUAUCGAUAGAAGGGGUUGCGA